GCGGCCGAUCGCCUUGAGUUGAUCAUGGCUCGAGCGAACGUUAGCGGCGGGCUUAACACAUGCAAGUCGAGCGAGAAAGUGGCUUCGGCCAUCAGUAAAGCGGCGGACGGGUGAGUAACACGUAGGUAAUCUUCCCUUGAGCGGGGGACAACAAGCCGAAAGGCUUGCUAAUACCGCAUAAGUUCCCAGAGUCUUUGGAUUUUGGGAGGAAAGCUAGGUAGCAAUAUCCGGCACUCGAGGAGGAGCCUGCGUAGCAUCAGCUAGUUGGUGGGGUAAUGGCCUACCAAGGCGAAGACGCUUAGCUGGUCUGAGAGGAUGAUCAGCCACACUGAAACUGAGACACGGUUCAGACUCCUACGGGAGGCAGCAGUGGGGAAUAUUGGACAAUGGGCGCAAGCCUGAUCCAGCCACGCCGCGUGAGUGAUGAAGGCCUUCGGGUCGUAAAGCUCUGUGGGGAGGGACGAACCGCCGGCGGUUAAUACCCGACGGCAUGACGGUACCUCCUUAGCAAGCACCGGCUAACUUCGUGCCAGCAGCCGCGGUAAUACGAAGGGUGCAAACGUUGCUCGGAAUUAUUGGGCGUAAAGCGCACGUAGGCGGCUUAGCAAGUCGGAAGUGAAAGCCCUCGGCUCAACCAAGGAAGUGCUUUCGAAACUGCUGAGCUUGAGUACUUAAGAGGAUCGCGGAAUUCCCGGUGUAGAGGUGAAAUUCGUAGAUAUCGGGAGGAACACCAGUGGCGAAGGCGGCGAUCUGGGAA
rnacentral:rRNA from 1 species